AUUGAACGCUGGCGGCAGGCCUAACACAUGCAAGUCGAGCGGGCCGCGGACGGGAGGGUAAUGUAUGGGGAUCUGCCCGGUGGAGGGGGAUAACUACUGGAAACGAUGGCUGAUACCGCAUACUAUCGGCUGGGCCCAUAUGGGAUGAGCUAGUAUGUGGGGUAAAGGCUAACCUAGGCGACGAUCUCUAGCUGGUCUGAGAGGAGGAUCAGCAAAACUGGGACUGAGACAAGGUCCAGACGCCUACGUGAGGCAGCAGGGGGGAAUAUGGCACAAUGGGCGCAAGUCGGAUGAAGCCAUGCCGCGUGUGUGAAGAAGGCCUUAGGGUUGUAAAGUACUUUCAGCGGGGAGGCGUGACCCGCAGAAGAAGCACCUGCUAACUCCGUGCCAGCAGCCGCGGUAAUUC
rnacentral:rRNA from 1 species